AUUGAACGCUGGCGGCAUGCCUUACACAUGCAAGUCGAACGGCAGCAUGGGAGCAAUCCUGGUGGCGAGUGGCGAACGGGUGAGUAAAGUAUCGGAACGUGCCCAGUCGUGGGGGAUAACGUAGCGAAAGUUACGCUAAUACCGCAUACGAUCUAUGGAUGAAAGCGGGGGAUCGCAAGACCUCGCGCGAUUGGAGCGGCCGAUAUCAGAUUAGGUAGUUGGUGGGGUAAAGGCUCACCAAGCCGACGAUCUGUAGCUGGUCUGAGAGGACGACCAGCCACACUGGGACUGAGACACGGCCCAGACUCCUACGGGAGGCAGCAGUGGGGAAUUUUGGACAAUGGGCGAAAGCCUGAUCCAGCCAUGCCGCGUGCAGGAUGAAGGCCUUCGGGUUGUAAACUGCUUUUGUACGGAACGAAACGGUCUGGGUUAAUACCCUGGGCUAAUGACGGUACCGUAAGAAUAAGCACCGGCUAACUACGUGCCAGCCGCCGCCGUAA
rnacentral:rRNA from 1 species